rnacentral:rRNA from 1 species
UACGUAGGGUACAAGCGUUGUCCGGAAUUAUUGGGCGUAAAGAGCUCGUAGGCGGUUUGUCGCGUCUGUUGUGAAAACUCGGGGCUUAACUCGGAAAGGUCAACUGAUACUGUGCGACUAGAGUGCAGAAGGGGCAACUGGAAUUCUCGGUGUAGCGGUGAAAUGCGUAGAUAUCGAGAGGAACACCUGCGGCGAAGGCGGGUUGCUGGGCUGAAACUGACGCUGAGGCGCGAAAGCCAGGGGAGCGAACAGG